GGACUACAGGGGUUUCUAAUCCCGUUCGCUCCCCUGGCUUUCGCGUCUCAGCGUCAGCAGGCGUCCAGGGCCGCGCUUUCGCCACGGGCGUUCCUUCCGAUCUCAACGCAUUUCACCGCUCCACCGGAAGUUCCCGGCCCCCCUACGCCCCUCGAGGCCCGCCGUCUCGGCGCCCGUUCCCCGGUUGAGCCGGGGGAUUUCAGCGGCCGACGUUCGGGCCCGCCUACACGCGCUUUAAGCCCAGUGAUUCCGAAUAACGUUCGCACGGUUCGUCUUACCGCGGCUGCUGGCAC
rnacentral:rRNA from 1 species